rnacentral:rRNA from 1 species
UGCAGUCGAACGAACUCUUCGGAGUUAGUGGCGGACGGGUGAGUAACACGUGGGAACGUGCCUUUAGGUUCGGAAUAACUCAGGGAAACUUGUGCUAAUACCGAAUGUGCCCUUCGGGGGAAAGAUUUAUCGCCUUUAGAGCGGCCCGCGUCUGAUUAGCUAGUUGGUGAGGUAAAGGCUCACCAAGGCGACGAUCAGUAGCUGGUCUGAGAGGAUGAUCAGCCACAUUGGGACUGAGACACGGCCCAAACUCCUACGGGAGGCAGCAGUGGGGAAUCUUGCGCAAUGGGCGAAAGCCUGACGCAGCCAUGCCGCGUGAAUGAUGAAGGUCUUAGGAUUGUAAAAUUCUUUCACCGGGGACGAUAAUGACGGUACCCGGAGAAGAAGCCCCGGCUAACUUCGUGCCAGCAGCCGCGGUAAUACGAAGGGGGCUAGCGUUGCUCGGAAUUACUGGGCGUAAAGGGCGCGUAGGCGGACAGUUAAGUUGGGGGUGAAAGCCCGGGGCUCAACCUCGGAAUUGCCUUCAAUACUGGCUGUCUUGAGUACGGGAGAGGUGAGUGGAACUCCGAGUGUAGAGGUGAAAUUCGUAGAUAUUCGGAGGAACACCAGUGGCGAAGGCGGCUCACUGGCUCGAUACUGACGCUGAGGUGCG